GGCAGGGAGAAGGACCUGCCCUGGGAGCAUCUAAGGAAGGACAUGGAAGCUGCUCCUCUAAGGAGAAAGGACCUGAUCUGCUAGAAGCCAGACUGACUAAAGACCUUCCAAGUGUCACUGUGUCUAUGGCCGAUCAGCAAGAAUCCUGGGCAGCAAGUUCCCUUCUGCCUGGAGCUCAAUUGGAGUGUGUCUCCAAGCCCCAGUCAGACAACUGCUUCAUGUGAAGUCAACCAGUCCACUGCCAACAAGAUUGUUUGUAUAAAGAUUGGGCUUGAGCUAAGGACCAGCACACCCCACCCCCUGACUCAGACCUGCUUUUGAGCCAAGCUGACUGCAUCGCCAAGCAACAGAGUGAUUAGACAUUGAGUCAGGCCUAUUAACAGCUCACCCAGGAAGAUCCCCAUGCUCCUACAGGAUUUUCCCCAUUUGAGUUUUUGUAUGGGAGACAACCCUGGGAAAUAUUAGAUCUGAGUAAUGAAAUGUGGGAGGGGCAGGAGUCAAAGUCCACCAACUCAAUACAGUAUUUAUUGUGAUUAAGAGAAGCAAAAAUCCCUGGGCGAGUUUGCAAAGGAGAACUUGUUGAACGAGCAACACAACAAGGAGAAGAAUUAUAACAAGGUCACCUGUAUCUGAGCGUUCCAACUGGGGGACCAAGUUCUAUUUCUGCUACCUAUCUCUGAAUCCAAGCUGUUGGCCCAAUGGCAGGGGCCUUUUGAAAUAGUGAAGUUAUGAACUUUACCAGCCUAGGAAGAGGAAAGCAACCCAAAUAUUAUCAUGUCAACUUACUGAAGGUAUGGAAAGAAUGGGAGGGACUCAUCAUCAUUCCAUUCCCUCUUGAGUCUGAAUGUGGCCCCUGUGCCAUGAUGGUUCCUCGGUUGGGGGACCAUAUCAGUUGGGGAAGGCUUAUGACCUGAGCAGGAAGAGCAGAUAUGCAAACUCAUCAGCACAUUCAUCUCUGCAUUUUUGGCAACAACCGGGCUGCAUGUACCCAGUGUUCCACUGUAUAGAGACUGAACGCAGCCAGAAAGUGAGAGAGAGCAUGCAACCAUUAACCAGAAAAAAUGUGGGAGACUGUGACAAGAGCUACAGAACAUGUUGGUCACAGAGGUCAUCGAGGACUCACACAGUAGGUGGCAAACUCUGAUAGUGCUCGUGCUCAAACAGGAUGGCUCAACAUGGUUCUGCAUUGACUUUUGAAAAAUGAAUACAAUAGCCAAAUUCAACCCUACAGGUCGAUGAAUUGCUGGAGAGUCUGGAGGCUGCCCAGGCACAUAUCCACUCUUGACCUAACCUGAGGGGAACUGGCAGAUCCCCCUUGCUCUUGAAUCCAGGGAAAAGAUGAUGACCUUCUCUAGCCCCUGGGCUUAUUCAAGUUUAGAAUCACGCCCUGCAGUCUGCAUGGGUCGUGGCUACAUUCAAGAGGUUAAUGGAUAAAGUACUGUGCCAACAUAGUAUGCGGCUGCUUAUGUUGAUGAUACCAUCAUUUACAGCGGGACAUGGGUCAACCACAUAAAACACCUCACAGCAGUUCUACAAGCAUUCUGCAAGGCUUGCCUGAUGGCUAACCCAGAUAAAUGUCAAUUAGCCAACUGGGAAGUGAACUACCUGGGAUACACAGUGGGUGGAGCAUGGCUACGUGUAUUAUUAGGGAAGGCAAAAGGCCUUGUUAAAAUACCUGAAGCCCUCUAUGAAGAAACAAAUAUGAUGCUUCUGGGACAAGUGGGGCACGAUAGGUGGUUCAUACCCAAUUUUGCCACCAUAGCCACACCCUGAACAGACUUAGUAAAAGAUGUUUCACUCAGGCAGAUCUGGUUGAUCAAGGCCUGUGCCAAGACCUUCCAGGGAUUUAAAAAAAAAAAGCUGGUGAAGAAGGAACCUGUUUUAUUUCACCCCAACCUUUCAGGACCUUUCACUUUACAAUGGACACUGGAUGUCAGCCUUGGAGCUGUACUAUUGCAAGAAAUAGGGGGAGAGGAACGUCCCAUCCUAUAUCUCGGCAAGACGCUGUUGUCCUAAGAAGAUGCCUAUUCAGUGACAGAGAAUAGGGCUCCUGUGGUAAAGUGGGCUUACAUUGUUCCCAGUGGGGCCAACCAUUCCAGCUAGUGACAGAUCACAUGCCCCUCCAAUGGCUACAAUCCAUGAAGGACCAUAACCCCUGAGUCAUCUGGUGGAAUUGGUCCCUGCAGCCAUACCACUUUGAAGUACUGCAUCAAGCCAAUAAAGACCAUAAAAAUGUGGACUUGUUUUCAUGAGACCGGUGUGGGGGGACAGUCAACCCAAAUAGACCCGGCAACUUGGAAACUGAGAGGGAGGGUGUGAGAUGGGGUCUAGAGGCCCCAUGCUGAACCAGGGCUGGGAAAGAGCUAUACUGGGCUAAGGAAGCCCCACCUUUCAACAGGUGUAGGGCAUGCUCCUAGUGGAGGAACAGUUUAAAAGAACACAGGGAGCCCCGGAAAAGGGGAGUGAGAAUGAGCUGCAUAUGGCACUGGGAAGCAAGGUUGAUGCUGAGAGCUGUGCCAGGAGCGGCAACAGCUUUGUAAAGGCUGCUCUGGCAGCAGAGACGUGAUAGCAUUGGUAGCUGAAAACCUGAAAUGAGAUGGAUUCAACAGGACACUAAAAGUAUGUUUCCUUCCCCUUCCCUACCAAACACAUAUGUCUACACUGGGAUAAAAGACCCGUGUCAUGGCCGCAGCUGGUCUGGGUCAGAUGACUUGGGUUUGUGGGGCUAAAAAGUUGCUGUUUUGAUGUUCAGGCUUGGGCUUACCGUAAGAGACCCAGGAGAAUUUACUAAACCAGUGACCACACCCUAAACUGAGGCAUUCCUGACUGCUAGGAAGUGUCCCGGGGGAAAACAUAAUUUGGGGUAGUUCAAUAACUGGGUUGGAUGGGUGGAAUGCGUGGGCCUGGGUCACACUGCCCCGCCUCCACCUGGUAGUGACCGAACCUCUGGGGGAGCAAUCAGAGUGCACUGCGUUGAUUCAGGGGCCCUUUCUGAGAUGUCUAGCCUGGCAGAAACUGUAAGUCCAUGACUGACCACUAGGCCAGUUGGUCAUUGGACCUUCUGACCAAAACAUCCAAUCUUGAUUUUAAAAUGUUCACUAAUGGAGAAUCCACCACAACUCUUGGAUAGUUGUUCCAAUAGUUAAUUACCUUCACUUUUUACAACUUGCCCCACAUUUUCAGUCUGAAUUGUCUUGCUUCAAAUUCUAGCCAUUGGAUAUGUUAUACAUUUGUCUGCUAGACUGAAGAGCAAAUUAUCAAAUUUCUGUUCCCUAUGUAGGUAUUUAU